ACGCUCGACACCUACGGUAGGCAGCAGUGGGGAAUAUUGCACAAUGGAGGAAACUCUGAUGCAGCGAUGCCGCGUGAGGGAAGAAGGUUUUCGGGUUGUAAACCUCUGUCUUUGGGGACGAUAAUGACGGUACCCAAGGAGGAAGCUCCGGCUAACUACGUACCAGCAGCCGCGGUAAUCUGAGCGGGCUGGCAAGGC
rnacentral:rRNA from 1 species